rnacentral:rRNA from 1 species
GUCUCAAAGAUUAAGCCAUGCAUGUCUAAGUAUAAAUCAUUUAUACAGGUGAGACUGCGAAUGGCUCAUUAAAUCAGUUAUAGUUUAUUUGAUAGUACAAUUACUACUUGGAUAACCGUGGUAAUUCUAGAGCUAAUACAUGCUAAAAGUCUCGACUUCUGGAAGGGACGUAUUUAUUAGAUAAAAACCAAUAA